GUUCAAGCAACUUAUGAAGUCCACUUUAAUAGGACCAUGAGAUGUGAGAAUGGCGAGGCUGGAGGAGGACAGUCCAGAUCAUGCAGCCACAGCCUGAUGGAAGACUUUGUGUCUUCAAUAGCACAAGAGGGUGGGCCUAGAAGAACUCCAAGACCCAUACGAGACCUGAACGAUCACGAUGCAUGUCUAGACUUGAAACUGGGGUCUCCUGAUGCCAGAUCCAGCUGACCUCUUCUACCGCGUGCCAGAUCCUAGCACACAGGCAGCGCGAGUUCCAGGCGCACAAGCCAGCGAAGAGGCAGCGGCGGCCUCUGAAAGGAACCCCGGCCGGAGGAAAGAGGGUCGUGUUACAGCUCCCAAGAAGGCGCGCGUCGGCCAGCAGCAAAAGCUUAAGAAGAACCUAGAAGUCGGGAUCUGGAAGAAGAUCGAACAUGACGUGGUGAUGAAAGCCAGCAACAGCCUGCCCAAGAAGCUGACACUGCUGAAGGCCCCGACCAAGAAGAAAGGGGAGACUGCUGCCACCUCCUCCAACAACCUUCCUGACAGGACGCUGGCCCCAGCGCAGGCCAGCAUCGCAGCCCCCGCCUCCAUGAUAGGACCUUGCAGGUGAUCCCACAGGCUGCACUGUCAGGAAGAGGACCCUGCUCCCCAGCACUGGGUCUCACCUAGAACUUCACUGGGAGCCUGGCCCUUGGGCAGCAGAUCCUAGGGUGCUGAGAACCCAGCAAUGGCCGGGAAGAUAGAGUCACCAACUUCAUCUGCCCCUGUCCCCCUUCCCAGGUCCUACCUUCACAGGUUCAACCCAGAGCAAUAAACCUGGGUUUAUCAUUUAAAAAAAAAAAAAAAAAUCCAGCUAACAUGUCACUUCCUUCGUGAAGUCCUCUCUGAUCCCUCCAGACAGAUUAGUCUGGUCCUUCCCUCCAUCAUCUGUAUUCCCACAGCAUUCUGUUCAUUUCUCUGUCAUAGCACAGGGACAUAUAGACAGACAGCUAAAGACGCAGCAAGCUGUUUCCCAUUAGACCGGCAGCCUCUGGAGGGCAGAGACGACCAUGGGAUGCCGCGGUGUUAGCACUGCCUCUGGCUCCCAGAAGACGUUUGGUGAGGGGUGACUGAAGCAAUCAACAUGAGGAUGAAUGAACUCCAGGAUGUAUUGUAAAGUGACUUGAAUUUUGAUUCCCAUUUGUUCGAGCCUGCCAAGGCUUAAAUCGCGUUUGUUGGAAUGUGAGAAAAGGAGGAAGAGUGGUAAUUAAAUGUGCUUGAUAAAACUUCUUUAUUUUGUGUUUGGAAUAAAAAUGGGAAGCUUGAGAUAAAACAGUGCUUGUUUCAGUGCUGAACAGGCUUCUCCAAGCAGGGCCUCGUGUCUAAGUGUCUAAUCUUCCCCUCCAAGUGGGGAGGGUGGCACCAGGCUGGGCACUGUCAUGGGGGGCAUUAUAAG
rnacentral:lncRNA from 1 species